rnacentral:rRNA from 1 species
UACGUAGGGAGCAAGCGUUGUCCGGAAUCAUUGGGCGUAAAGCGCGCGUAGGUGGCCUCGUAAGUCCGCUGUGAAAGUCAAAGGCUCAACCUUUGAAAGCCGGUGGAUACUGUGAGGCUAGAGUACGGAAGAGGCGAGUGGAAUUCCUGGUGUAGCGGUGGAAUGCGCAGAUAUCAGGAGGAACACCAAUAGCGAAGGCAGCUCGCUGGGACGUAACUGACGCUGAGGAGCGAAAGCGUGGGGAGCGAACAGG